rnacentral:rRNA from 1 species
CCUAAGGUAGCGAAAUUCCUUGUCGGGUAAGUUCCGACCUGCACGAAUGGCGUAACGAUCUCCACACUGUCUCGGCCAGAGACUCGGUGAAAUUGCAGUCGCGGUGAAAAUUCCGUGUACCCGCAGAAAGACGGAAAGACCCUGUGCACCUUUACUAUAGCUUGACAUUGGAUUUUGGGCCUGCAUGUGUAGGAUAGGUGGGAGGCUGUGAACCCUGUACGCCAGUAUGGGGGGAGCCAUCCUUGAAAUACCACCCUUGCAUGUUUAAGAUCCUAACUUCUUCCGGUUAUCCCGGAGAAAGACAGUGUCUGGCGGGUAGUUUGACUGGGGCGGUCGCCUCCUAAAGUGUAACGGAGGCAUGCAAAGGUUCCCUCAGCCUGAUCGGAAACCAGGCGCUGAGUGCAAACGCAUAAGGGAGCUUGACUGUAAGAGAGACAUCUCGAACAGGAACGAAAGUUGGCGUUAGUGAUCCGGUGGUCCCGAAUGGAAGGGCCAUCGCUCAUUGGAUAAAAGGUACGCCGGGGAUAACAGGCUGAUCGCAUCCAAGAGUUCACAUCGACGAUGCGGUUUGGCACCUCGAUGUCGGCUCAUCACAUCCUGGGGCUGAAGCAGGUCCCAAGGGUACGGCUGUUCGCCGUUUAAAGUGGUACGCGAGCUGGGUUUAAAACGUCGUGAGACAGUUUGGUCCCUAUCUUCUGUGGGCGUAGGAGAAUUGAGAGGGUUUGUCCCUAGUACGAGAGGACCGGGAUGAACGCACCACUGGUGGAUCAGUUGUCGCGCCAGCGGCAUAGCUGAGUAGCUAUGUGCGGAAUGGAUAACCGCUGAAAGCAUCUAAGCGGGAAGCCAGCCUCGAGAUAAGUUCUCCCUGUCGCAAGACACUAAAGGGCCGAUGAAGACUACAUCGUUGAUAGGCCGGAGGUGGAAGCGCUGCGAAGCGUGGAGCUGACCGGUACUAAUAGCCCGUGCGCCUUAUAUUU